rnacentral:rRNA from 1 species
AGUGAACGCUGGCGGUAGGCCUAACACAUGCAAGUCGAGCGGAAGAAGAGUACUUGCUCCUGGUUACAGCGGCCGACGGGCGGGUAAUGGCUAGGAACCUCCGUGUCUGCUGUUGCUAACGUGCUAAAGCGGGGACUCAUACCCCAUUCGUGCUGACGGCGUACGGGGGGGAUCUUCGGAUCUCAGGCUCUCACAUGAGCCUAUGUCGGAUUAGCUAGUUGGCGGGGUAAAGGCCUACCAAGGCGACGAUCCGUAACUGGUCUGAGAGGAUGAUCAGUCACACUGGAACUGAGACACGGUCCAGACUCCUACGGGAGGCAGCAGUGGGGAAUAUUGGACAAUGGGCGCAAGCCUGAUCCAGCCAUGCCGCGUGUGUGAAGAAGGUCUUCGGAUUGUAAAGCACUUUUGGUUGGGAAGAAAAGCAGUAAGUUAAUACCUCGCUGUUCUGACGUUACCAAAAGAAUAAGCACCGGCUAACUUCGUG